AGAGUUUGAUCCUGGCUCAGAACGAACGCUGGCGGCAGGCUUAACACAUGCAAGUCGAACGGUUGUAGCAAUACAGCAGUGGCGCACGGGUGAGUAACACGUGGAUAUCUGCCUUUUGGUUCGGAAUAACCCUGGGAAACUAGGGCUAAUACCGAAUGGUUCCUACGGGAUAAAGAUUUAUCGCCAAAAGAUGAGUCCGCGUCCGAUUAGCUAGUUGGUGAGGUAAUGGCUCACCAAGGCGACGAUCGGUAGCUGGUCUGAGAGGACGAUCAGCCACACUGGGACUGAGACACGGCCCAGACUCCUACGGGAGGCAGCAGUGGGGAAUAUUGGACAAUGGGGGCAACCCUGAUCCAGCCAUGCCGCGUGAGUGAUGAAGGCCUUCGGGUUGUAAAGCUCUUUUGGCGGGGACGAUGAUGGCGGUACCCGCAGAAUAAGCCCCGGCUAACUUCGUGCCAGCAGCCGCGGUAAGACGAAGGGGGCUAGCGUUGUUCGGAAUUACUGGGCGUAAAGCGCGUGUAGGCGGUUGUUCAAGUCAGGUGUGAAAGCCUUGAGCUCAACUCAAGAAAUGCACUUGAUACUGGAUGACUAGAGGACCGGAGAGGAUAGUGGAAUUCCCAGUGUAGUGGUGAAAUACGUAGAGAUUGGGAAGAACACCAGUGGCGAAGGCGGCUAUCUGGACGGUUUCUGACGCUAAGACGCGAAAGCGUGGGGAGCAAACAGGAUUAGAUACCCUAGUAGUCC
rnacentral:rRNA from 1 species